GAAGAAAGGAAGGAAGGCAGGCAGGCAAGCAAGCAGGUGGGGGUGGAGAGGGUGGUCGGGAAAGGCUUCUUUGUGUUCAUGCCAAGUCCAGCAUAGGUUAGGAAGCCUUUUUCUUCCCCGAGCCACACCAUGUAGAGUGAAUGUGUCAUUGUUGCAAUAGAUAAAGAGACUUGGGGGAAACGUUUUGGCUCUUAACUGGGCCCAGAAGUAACACAAUCACUUCCGCUCAUGCUGACCAGAGCUGACCACAUGGCCAGCCCUGAACUGAUUUUGAUAGAAGCUAAGAAACAGAAGGAACUCGAGAUUGUUAACUGUUUCUGUCCCUGCAGAUAAAGCUGUGUCCUCAGCAAGCAAGGCCAGUGCGUUUCACUACGACUCUGGACGGAAGGAACCAGUUUGACUUAAGAUAGAACCAGCAAUCAUAGAGAUUCCAAGGGUUUGGAGGUGGUCUUAUCAUAUUUAUUUGUGUGGUGAAGAAGACACAUGCUUGCAACUGUACACAUAGGGAGGUCACAGGACAUGGGCCAGAGUCAGUUUUCUCCUGUACCAAAGUGGGACUUGGGGACCUAACUCAGGUUGUCAGACUUGAUAGCUAGCGCCUUUACCUCUGAGCCAUAUUUAUAGCCUGCUUGGGGGUAUCUUUAAUGAUCAAUUCCUAGAAAUACAACUGAGCCUAGGGAAGGGUUCAGGAUCAGGAAGGGUAAAGGCAAAAAACAGUGUCGUCUCUGGCCUCUGAAGCACUCUGAGAAGAAAGAGGGUGACUGGCUUUCAGAGUUAUUCUUUAUGGAGCAGAGGGAUUCCUGAGCAGGGGACUUGCUUUUUAUUAAGGAAGGAGUGGGAGGAAACACGUAGUAAAUGUCUGCCUUAAGGCUUUUCCUUUAAAUACAUAUUUAUCUUCUUAAAGGUGUAUGCUAGCUCCCAGCACGACUCUGAGUCUGAAGGUUAAAAUGGGAGUUUGUUAAGUGAAUAAAAAAUUGAGGCCAGAGCUGGAGAGAUAUCUCAGUAGUUAGGGCUGGAGAGAUGCCUUGGCCCUUAACAGCACUUGCCACCCUUGCGGAGUACCCGAGCUCGGUUCCCAGCUGAUGGCUCACAGCUGUCUGUGAGGACACUUCCAGGGGAUCCAAUGUCUCUUCUGACCUCCUUGGGCUCCUGUACACACAUGGUGCACACACAUAUACUUAGGCCCACACACUUAAAAUAACACAGACACACACACACACUAUGGUCAUUUCAGAUGCAAAGAUGAGCUUAGUGUAUGGCUGGGGAGGCUGUUCAGUGGUAAAGUGUUUGCCUACUGUGCUUGAGCCUCAAGUUUCUGGGUUUGAUCCCCAGACUAGGGAAGAACAUGUUCCUCUAAAGCUUUCAUCUUUUCUUUCAGUUUGUAAUUCUGCUCUGGGUUCUGCUUCUCCUCUCCUGCAGAAAGCUUUUUUUUUGUUUUGUUUUGUUUUUUGUUUCUCUCUCUCCUAGGAUUUGAGUUUUCAUCUUUUAUUUAGGUCUGGGUUUCUUUUAGCAUUUCCUAUGGUGCAGAUUUGCCCGGAGGGGAAGUCAUCUUUUAAAAUAAAAGAAAUGGUUUUUGUUUUGUUUAGGACAGUGUCUUCUAAGUACCCAGGUACGAUCCUCCUGCCUCAGCCUCAGGAGAGUUGUAUUUCUGGCUGUACCUGUGAAGACGUUUUCCAGUGUGAUGGUCACCAUACUCUGCCACCUCUCUAAUCUUAAGUCCCUGAGUGUAUCUGGUUGUCCUUUCCUGUCAGGAUUGCUUGUCAGGUCAAGCUCUGCACCUUGUUCAUAUGGAGCAACAGGCCCUGCUUAGCCUCAUCUUGCUUCAUAUCCACCCAACAACUGCUUUGCUAAGGUUUGGAUGAGCAUCCCCCAAAGCUUCAUACACAGAAAUUUAAUCCUCUUGGGAGACACGCAAGCUGGCACUGAUUCUAACUGCACUGCUUAGAGCCGGGGACUUUGAAAAGUGAUAGUCACGAGGACUGCGAGUCAGAGCUAGAGAAGCACUGGAGUGAGCUGUUCGCCCUCCCUUUUCUGUUUGACUUCUGCGAGACUGCUUCCUGUCAAGUCCAGCUUGCGUGUGUGACCUCUGGCCCUGCUGAUGCAGCCUAUAAGAGGACUCAAGACAAUCGAAAGCUUUCAGGACCCAGUGACCAUAGCUUCCGGGCCCAGCCUCCGAGUGUGUCCUUCACUUCUCCACACCCACUCAUUACAGCCAAGGGCCUUCCAAAUCCUUCUGCCCAGGAGGCACAAGACAGCCGCAUACCCCAUAGGCCUGUUUCCAUCUGCGUUAAUGUUCUCACAAGAGUCUUC
rnacentral:lncRNA from 1 species